rnacentral:lncRNA from 1 species
AUAAGGCCUGCAUGGAUGGGGGGCAGUCAGCAACUAAGUGUAAUUUGCAGGUGAUCAUAGAACUCAUGGAGUGUUUACCACAAGAAAAGGCUGCUCCCUUGAGAUUGGAAACUUUCUGAGAGAAGGGAUAUGUCCCAAAUGUCUACCACCAGCACUCACUAAAAUCCUGAUGAAGGAUUAUUGUAAGAAAUACCUCUUAUUGAAGAUCUGUUUGUCUGCAUUAUAAACAGAGGCCUCCCUUUGAGAGUUCAUCUGCAAUAUCACCUUCUGAAAUGAGACACAGCUAUUUAACAGAACUGACCUAUUUGCAGGACUAAGACUGAUUUGAGAAGAUAUGGGCUGCUUGUUCCAAUCUGUGUUGUCCUUCCCAUAUUGCCAAUCUCACAUCUCUUAUCUGAAUCUCUCUAAAGCUAGUCACUUGGGCUUUAAUAUGUGAAACUUUCUAAAAAUAAAGUUUUAAAUGGGGGACUAAUAAAAACCAAAAAUAUUUUACCCCAAAAUAUACUUUUUUGACAUAUUUUGGGAUGGCUGUUCAGAGGGCCUGCAGACAGGAAUAGCCCUGAAAAGCUUUCUUUUGUGGAGUAGAUUUGCAUCUGUAGAGAAAAAUCUACAUUAGUGAAAUAAACAGCCAGACUUUUUCUGAGGUCCUCCCCUUUAUCCAGAUCUGGUAAUGAUUAACUCGACCACAGGCUGCCACUUAUUUUUUCUGAGAGCUGCUACCUGUGAGUCUUCAUCUACAUAACAAGGCUGCCUUUACUCCUUGCCUUUCUUUCUCUCUCCCUCCCUUAGCUUGUCUCCCCAUGCUCCAAUCCCCUAUUCUUCUGUAACCUCAAGAUGGUAUAAUAGAGACAACCAUCUGGCCCUUUCUUUGAGCUUUCAUAUUUUACAUGUUUCUCGUGUACAUAUGUGCAUGUUAAUACAUUUUGUAAGUCUUUUCUCCUAUUAAUCUUCCUUUUGUCAGUUGAUUUUCAGUGAACAUUCAGAGAGUGAAGGGGAAGGUUUCUUUUGGCCACUACAACAUCGACAUUUUUUUAUCCUCCAGUUUGACAAAAACUAAAACCUUUAUAACAAACUGUGGUAGCAAGCUUGUGGAAAACACUCUCAUUCAGUGUUGUUAGGAGUUAAGUUUGU